UCUUGUAUCCAAAAAUGACCGUGGGUUGCCUGUGCCCCGGUCAUUAAUAGUGCAGGGGUAGGAGUGCUGAAAGGCAUUUUCCCUGCGUCGGCCCAGCCUUUCCUUUCAAACCCUGGAGCUUUCCCAUG
ensembl:snoRNA SNORA71 Small nucleolar RNA SNORA71